rnacentral:rRNA from 1 species
UACGUAGGGUGCGAGCGUUAAUCGGAAUUACUGGGCGUAAAGUGUGCGCAGGCGGCCGCGCAAGUCGAGUGUGAAAGCCCCGAGCUUAACUUGGGAAUUGCGCUCGAAACUACGUGGCUGGAGUGUGGCAGAGGAAGGUGGAAUUCCAGGUGUAGCGGUGAAAUGCGUAGAUAUCGGAAGGAACACCAGUGGCGAAAGCGGCCUCCUGGUCCAGCACCGACGUUCAGGCACGAAAGCGUGGGGAGCAAACAGG